ensembl:lncRNA
UGCAGGCACAACUUUCUGGUGUUAUACACUGUCCUGGCAUUGCAGAUCUAGGGGUUCCAGUUAAGACGUGGUCAGCCUUCUAAAGAAAGUGGGAAUAUCACCGAAAUAUUCAGUUACUUUGCUGUGUUUCUUGCCAGGACAAAGGCUCAAACCAUCAUCUUCUCCUGGUAUCGAAUACCAAGGGACCUUCUGAAGACAACACAGUUGAAAAGCGCAGAGAAAUUGCUGUUCGCUGCCUCAUAGUCUAUCUUGGAGAGAAGGAGGAGGAUCUUUUCAAACAAUACAGCGAUGAGGAGGAGCUCAACACAGACCUUGCAAUGCAAAUCAUGAAGAUUGCUAUCAUUGGUGAUGGGCCUCCAACCAUCAUCGUUGAGGGAUCCAAGAUCCUGGAGAGGAUUGAUGUUGCC